GAGUUGAGAAGCUUGCUGGAGGUAUCAGAAGUGCGAAUGCUGACAUGAGUAACGACAAUGGGUGUGAAAAACACCCACGCCGAAAGACCAAGGGUUCCUGCGCAACGUUAAUCGACGCAGGGUUAGUCGGUUCCUAAGGCGAGGCUGAAAAGCGUAGUCGAUGGGAAACAGGUUAAUAUUCCUGUACUUCUGGUUACUGCGAUGGAGGGACGGAGAAGGCUAGGCCAGCUUGGCGUUGGUUGUCCAAGUUUAAGGUGGUAGGCUGAAAUCUUAGGUAAAUCCGGGGUUUCAAGGCCGAGAGCUGAUGACGAGUCGUCUUUUAGAUGACGAAGUGGUUGAUGCCAUGCUUCCAAGAAAAGCUUCUAAGCUUCAGGUAACCAGGAACCGUACCCCAAACCGACACAGGUGGUCGGGUAGAGAAUACCAAGGCGCUUGAGAGAACUCGGGUGAAGGAACUAGGCAAAAUGGCACCGUAACUUCGGGAGAAGGUGCGCCGGCUAGGGUGAAGGAUUUACUCCGUAAGCUCUGGCUGGUCGAAGAUACCAGGCCGCUGCGACUGUUUAUUAAAAACACAGCACUCUGCAAACACGAAAG
rnacentral:rRNA from 1 species